UAUCACCUUUCAUUGUAGAUCGAAUAGGCAUGCGUAAUAAAACAUAAUGUGAUGCUUGAGUAGCGACAUAUGAAUAUUCCUCAUAAAUUAUUUUCCUUUAUUAGGCAUGCCUAUUCGAUUUACAAUGAAAGGUGAUA